AACUCCUUCGACGAGUCGAGUAGUUUGGGAAUGCUGCUCUAAAUGGGAGGUAUACGUCUUCUAAAGCUAAAUACCGGCCAGAGACCGAUAGCGCACAAGUAGAGUGAUCGAAAGAUGAAAAGCACUUUGAAAAGAGGGUUAAAUAGUACGUGAAAUUGCUGAAAGGGAAGCGCUUAUGACCAGACUUGGGCUAGGUUAAUCAUCCGGCGUUCUCGCCGGUGCACUUUGCCUGUCCAGGCCAGCAUCAGUUCACGUCGGGGGAUAAAGGCGUCGGGAAUGUGGCUCCCUCGGGAGUGUUAUAGCCCGGCGUGUAAUACCCUGACGAGGACUGAGGUACGCGCUCCGCAAGGAUGCUGGCGUAAUGGUCAUCAGCGACCCGUCUUGAAACACGGACCAAGGAGUCGUCUUCGUAUGCGAGUGUUCGGGUGUCAAACCCCUACGCGUAAUGAAAGUGAACGUAGGAGAGAGCUUCGGCGCAUCUCCGACCGAUCCUGAUGUUCUCGGAUGGAUUUGAGUAAGAGCAUACGGGGCCGGACCCGAAAGAAGGUGAACUAUGCCUGUAUAGGGUGAAGCCAGAGGAAACUCUGGUGGAGGCUCGCAGCGGUUCUGACGUGC
rnacentral:rRNA from 1 species